UGACUGGGGUGAAGUCGUAACAAGGUAACCGUAGGGGAACCUGCGGUUGGAUCACCUCCUUACCUGAAAGAA
rnacentral:rRNA from 4 species